GGAGCACGCCGCGUGAGUGAUGAAGGUUUUCGGAUCGUAAAGCUCUGUUGCCAGGGAAGAAUGCUUGGGAGAGUAACUGCUCUCAAGGUGACGGUACCUGAGAAGAAAGCCCCGGCUAACUACGUGCCAGCAGCCGCGGUAAUACGUAUGGGGCAAGCGUUGUCCGGAAUUAUUGGGCGUAAAGCGCGCGCAGGCGGUCAUUUAAGUUUGGUGUUUAAUCCCGGGGCUCAACCCCGGGUCGCACUGAAAACUGGGUGACUUGAGUACAGAAGAGGAGAGUGGAAUUCCACGUGUAGCGGUGAAAUGCGUAGAUAUGUGGAGGAACACCAGUGGCGAAGGCGACUCUCUGGGCUGUAACUGACGCUGAGGCGCGAAAGCGUGGGGAGCACACAGGAUUAGAUACCCUGGUAGUCCACGCCGUAAACGAUGAGUGCUAGGUGUUAGGGGUUUCGAUACCCUUGGUGCCGAAGUUAACACAUUAAGCACUCCGCCUGGGGAGUACGGUCGCAAGACUGAAACUCAAG
rnacentral:rRNA from 1 species